AUUUCACAUCAAGACCAACAGUGGUUCUAUCAACACUGCCACCUACAGGUCUGUCAAGUACAUUGACAAUUUUCAUGGGGUUUUACAAACACCAAAACACUGACCCCUAUAGGUCAACAGACAAACAACAUUUCACAUACCAAUCAGUAUCCAACUACACUGCCACCUAUAGGGCACUCGGCAGAUCUCCAGUGCACUUGCAUUUUGCAACACCAUGUUCACUGACCGCUACCAUUCAAUAAGAC